rnacentral:rRNA from 1 species
AUUGAACGCUGGCGGCAGGCCUAACACAUGCCAGUCGAGCGGAUGAAGGGAGCUUGCUCCUGGAUUCAGCGGCGGACGGGUGAGUAAUGCCUAGGAAUCUGCCUGGUAGUGGGGGAUAACGUCCGGAAACGGGCGCUAAUACCGCAUACGUCCUGAGGGAGAAAGUGGGGGAUCUUCGGACCUCACGCUAUCAGAUGAGCCUAGGUCGGAUUAGCUAGUUGGUGGGGUAAAGGCCUACCAAGGCGACGAUCCGUAACUGGUCUGAGAGGAUGAUCAGUCACACUGGAACUGAGACACGGUCCAGACUCCUACGGGAGGCAGCAGUGGGGAAUAUUGGACAAUGGGCGAAAGCCUGAUCAAGCCAUGCCGCGUGUGUGAAGAAGGUCUUCGGAUUGUAAAGCACUUUAAGUUGGGAGGAAGGGCAGUAAGUUAAUACCUUGCUGUUUUGACGUUACCAACAGAAUAAGCACCGGCUAACUUCGUG